ensembl:lncRNA
ACAGUGAGUGCGGGUCUGCUGUGUGCCAAAGCUCAACUGCUGCUGGGGCCUGGCCAUCUCCCAGGAAGGCAGCAUGGACCCUCACCACGGGUGCCCUGCCUCCAGGAGUGGACAGAGGCUGACCCCCCAAUGCCCCCAAACACUGACCCUCACAGCCCUCGACCUCCUGCUCCUGCAAUAGGCAGGUGAUGUGAAGGUGUCUCAUCAGCUGUCAAGCUACCAGUUCAGAACACACCACGUUGAGGAGAGAAAAUAUUAAUUUACCUGGACUUUUAAUGACUGCGGACUUCUCGGAGCACUGGAGCAGAAAGACUGACCAUCUGUGGGACAUCGCUGGACCCAGGCUCUGCUGUUCUCCAAAGAAAAAAAUUAUUGCAGCUAGCCUGAAGAAAGGCAAGAUGUGUGGGACAAGCAGCAGUUUGAACAGCUUUGAAGCACAGAACCUGUCCGGGGCUCCCGCCCUCCAUGGGCUCUGGCUGCUCCCGGAAACAAUCCUGCAGCCGGGCAGGAGGACGCACUUGCUGACGGCCUGGACCGAACCUCCAGCACCUCUCGGGAAUCUGAUCAACACUGCACACCCUGGGAAGAAACUGGGCAGAAUUCUCGCACAAGAAUUUCAUGGGAUACUUUUUUUUUUUUUAAUAACAUGCUCCAAACUGGCAACCGAGGACACUCUGACUUUGCACACAAAGGAGAAUCACGUCUGAUCUGAUAUGUGGUUUCUUGUAUGUAAGUAUGUCCUGUCGUGUCAGGGUUUUGUAACGUCAUUGACCAGCAAGCAGGUCAGGGAUGUGGAGAGAGACACUGAUUCAGACUCUGAAGUCAGCAUUUUGCACCUAGUUUGAAUGACUCAAACCGCAUAUGUACACGCUAUUAUAUUUAUCUAUAUG